UCCGUAGGUGAACCUGCGGAAGGAUCAUUACUGAUUUGGCGGACCGAGCGUCAGCGAGGUUCCGCGAUCACUUAUAUUUAAAACCCACACCUUGAAUAUAUUAUAUAUUGUAUUUUUUAAAUGAUAAAAUAAAAAAGAUCACUUUCAACAACGGAUCUCUUGGCUCUCGCAUCGAUGAAGAACGUAGCGAAGUGCGAUAAGUAAUGUGAAUUGCAGAAUUCCGUGAAUCAUCGAAUCUUUGAACGCAAAUUGCACUCUUUGGUAUUCCGAAGAGUAUGCCUGUUUGAGGGUCAGUUAAAUAAAAAUCGGUGUUGUUGCUGCCUUUCGUGGUAACGCUUCGGAUUUGGGUCGUCUUACCUUCGGUUAAGUGACCUAAAAUUUAGCAUGAUUUUUCGAACGUAUUUAAAUUAUUUAUGUACGUUUGUGAUAUCGAAUAUAUUAGAUGUGGUCAUUGUCAUGAUUUGCGUCUAUAAUUUUUUGUAAAAUGACCUCAAAUCAGGUAAGAGUACCCGCUGAACUUAAGCAUAUCAAUAAGCGGAGGAAGUC
rnacentral:rRNA from 1 species